GUGCCAGCCGCCGCGGUAAUACGGAGGGUGCAAGCGUUAAUCGGAAUGACUGGGCGUAAAGCGCACGCAGGCGGUUUGUUAAGUUGGAUGUGAAAUCCCCGGGCUUAACCUCGGAACUGCAUUCAAAACUGGCAAGCUAGAGUCUCGUAGAGGGGGGUAGAAUUCCAGGUGUAGCGGUGAAAUGCGUAGAGAUCUGGAGGAAUACCUGUGGCGAAGGCGACCCCCUGGACGAAGACUGACGCUGAGGCGCGAAAGCGUGGGGAGCAAACAGGAUUAGAUACCCCUGUAGUCC
rnacentral:rRNA from 1 species